UACGGAGGGUGCGAGCGUUGUCCGGAAUCAUUGGGCGUAAAGGGCGCGUAGGUGGCCCGGUCAGUCUUUGGUGAAAGCGCGGGGCUCAACCCUGCGUCGGCCAGGGAUACUGCCGCGGCUCGAGCACUGUAGAGGCAGGCGGAAUUCCGGGUGUAGCGGUGGAAUGCGUAGAUAUCUGGAGGAACACCGGUGGCGAAGGCGGCAUUCUGGACCGAUAUUGACGCUGAGGAGCGAAAGCCAGGGGAGCAAAGCGGG
rnacentral:rRNA from 1 species